UUCCCCAAAGUAGCGUCGCACGCAAGGCAGUUUUGUCCGGUCAAGCGAAUGAUUAGAGGUCUUGGGGCUGAAACGAUCUCAACCUCUUCUCAGAAUUCCAAUGGGUAAGAAGCCUGGCUCGCUGGCGUGGAACGCGAGUGCUUGCGGGGCCACUUUUGCUAAGCAGAACUGGAGCUGCUGUGGGAUGAACCC
rnacentral:ncRNA from 1 species